AAUACGCCCCGUCGUCAUCUACAGCCGUAGGUGACACGUCAUUGCUCCCAUAGAAAUCCAUCUGCGCGACACACAAUAGAUUGAUAAGGACAUCCAACGAAAACAAUCUGUAUAAUAAUAGAGCCUAUCCAAAGCGUGAAUUUCCCAUUAGAAGAUUAUUCUAUCGAACUAAUAACCAUAUAUUGUUGAACUAUUAGCACAAUUAGACUAGUUACGUGAACUCCUUGUCGCCGUCACCAAGAAUUUAGCUAUUUACAGUGGUGUAAAGGUGAGCGAAGAUAAAAACAUAUCGACAUGCUGUAGUAGAAAUAUUAUGUUUACUGCUCCUUUGUUCACUUAGGCUAGACAAACCAUCAAAUAUUUGCCAGUAGUAACAUAUUCCCAAUGCUAGAACUAAGCUUAUAAGCUAGCACUAGAGGUAAGCGCUGUUAUAAUCAAUUAAUUUACCGUUCUGAAAUCAUUAAUGCAUACAUACAUUUCAAACCAGGGAUUCUCAAACGGAAAACGAAGAGAAACUAGUUGCGUGAGGAGAGAAUUACCGAAUUGAUCACUAACAGUAAGCCAAAUUUCAUUUCCUAAAUGUAAGCCGCUAACAAUCUCUUUUGCCAGGAAUUUUGUAAUUUUUAUCAUCAAUAAAUUCACGGAAUUACGAUCAUAGUUCUUCGACUCCGCAACAGUUUACAAAAUUCUGUUAAUAUGUCGAAAAAGUCGACGAAUCUUGCAGCGUCUCAGUUCACGGAGCCACGGGAAAGUACAUACAACGCCAUCGAUGGGCUCACGGCAAAUAGCGCAGGUUGUGUACCCACUGUCGUCAACUUGCUCCCUCCGAGCUCUGGAAACCAGGUAAAUGUUGAUGUUACCGAUACUAAUACAGUUUGUGGAGCUACAGUAAACGUAGCCAACCUUGUCGGCCAGAGGAACACCGGUGCCGCGACCAAUGUCCGUAGGAAUCCAUUACGCGAAGUCCGGAGAAAUGUAGACCAUCAGUGCCAGCUAUGUGAUAACCGUGACAAUCAGGAGAUGGUGCAAUGUGAUGGAUGUGAUAGGUGGUUCCACUUCGUAUGUGUCCAAGUUACGGAGGAUAUCGCCAAUGUCAGUUGGAUUUGUCCGAUUUGCAAAACUGCAUCUUUCAUCGCCCUCCCCACCAACUCAAAACUUCAGUCAAGUGUCCAGCACAGCCAAAUUCCACCCCCACGAAAGACCGUAUCAAAGCGAUCAGCGAGCAAGGCAAGCUCUCGGAGUGAGGCAAGAAGACUGAAAGACCUCGAAUUGAAGAAGCUUGAGGAAGAGUUCGAGAUGGAGAAGCGCUUCCUGGAGCGAAAGUAUAAACUACUAAUGGAGUGCGGUAGCGAAACAUCAUCAAUGACUGAGGAAUACGAAGAUGACAGGCUGUCGAAGAUCGAGGAGUGGUUAGCCGAAACGGGCCGCCAUGGUGAAGCUGAGGAUUCCGGAUUAGCAGAAGCAGCAAUUGAGCAAACAUCGAACAGUUCGAGCAAGCUCGGGGAGCAUCAGACUCCGGUUGUCAAGCGAAGCGCAAUUCCAUCGAUUCUCCGAACCAACCAACAGGCUCAACGUCCUCAAGAUGAUCUACGUCUGCUCCUAGUAGAACAACGCCAUCAGCAAUGUCAAGCAGGUUUCUCGGGUUCCAUUCCGGAUGCUCAGCACAGCCGUCCUCUGCGAGGCGUACAGUAUUCUAGCGGUACACGACAGCCGUUUCCACUCGAACAAAUUCGGAGCGAGCGUCCUCGAGUUGAAGGUCUACCAGAACAGUUAGCUCGUCAACGGUUGUCUGAUCACCCGAUGUUGGCAUCUUCUGGCACGCGCCACCGUCGACUUACCAGCGAAGGUCAAGUAGAGCAUCAACACUCACAAGCGCCCACCAGGGCAACGAUAACAUCAGCUGUGAACCCAGGUAGGCUAAGCGAGUUCAUCCCCGGCCAGCGUUCAACCCCGAUCCUUCCACCUCUGGUCGAGCCCGGCCAGUCAGCUAUAAAUGACGAAACCGUUUGCAUUCUCAAUCGGAGUCAAAUUGCAGCACGUCAGGCGGUUUCUAGAGAUCUACCAGAUUUCGACGGAUCGUUGGAGGAUUGGCCUCUGUUUUUUGCCACGUUUAACUCGUCCACGCAGAUGUGUGGGUUUACGAAUGAAGAAAAUAUGCUUCGGUUGCGCAAGUGCCUGAAAGGAAAGGCACUAGAGGCGGUAAAAUGCGAAUUACUACACCCGUCAAAUGUUGCUGACAUCAUAUCAACGUUAAAAAUGCUAUACGGACGACCAGAUGCCAUCAUUCAGUCUAUCAUCAAAAGGAUCAAACACCUUCCCCCGCCAAACACGGAAAAGCUUGAAACCUUGGUGACCUUUGCACUAACAGUAAAGAACAUGGUUGCGACAAUUCAAGCUUGUAAUGUCGACGACUAUCUAUUCAACGCAGCUCUUCGUUUCGAGCUAAUAGAGCGUCUACCGCCGUCUCUCAAGCUGGACUGGGCAAGGUUCGCCAGAAGUAAUCCCAACCCGAAUCUCGCUGAUCUUAGUGCCUGGCUGUAUACCAUAGCCGAAGAUGCCUGCACAGUAAUGGCAACAACAUGUACCGAUCCACGAAGCCGAGGUGUUAAAAAGGACGGAUUUCUGAAUUUUCAUUCCGAGUCGGAAUCAAGCAACGAUCCGGUAGUAGAGUCAGCGAACAUGCCGAAGUCCACAAUAGGAAUGGAUCAUUCUAAAACUAUGUGUGUGGUUUGUAAAGGAAGCUGCGCAUCUGUUGUAAACUGCAGCAGAUUCGAGGAACUAAGCUACGAUUCAAGAUGGGCGAUAGUGAAAGAAUGUAAGUUGUGUCGCAAAUGUCUUCGAAAGCACAAUGGGUCAUGCCGACUGCUACAAAAGUGCGGAACAAACGGAUGCGUCUUUCAACACCAUCCGUUACUGCAUAAACCGGAUAACCGCAAUCUCAAGCCAUCAACUACAACGCCGACUGAAGUUCCUGCGCCAACAGAAGCAGAACCAAGCUGUAAUCUCCACCAAGGCCAAUCGGCCGUGCUGUUUCGAAUCGUUCCAGUCAUGUUGUACGGACCAACGAAAACAGUGCGCACGUAUGCGUUCAUUGAUGACGGAUCCGAGCUCACCCUUAUUGAGCAAAGUCUUGCUAAUGAACUGGGAGUCGAAGGUCCGAAGAAGUCAUUGUGCUUAAAGUGGACUGGAGGGACCCGCAAGGUAGAAGAUGACUCGCAACAAGUAAAUCUUCAAAUAUCAGGAGUCCGCAGUUCAGCAAGGUUCGACUUGUCGGGUAUAAAUACGCUUUCGACACUACAAAUUCGCCCGCAGACGUUGUUACUAUCCGAGAUGCAGAAAAGGUUCCCCUACCUCGAUGGGCUACCACUGGAAGAGUAUCGGGACGUUAGCCCACGGCUCCUCAUCGGUUUGGACUACGCAAAUCUCGGGCACGGAAUCAAAGGCCGAGAGGGAAAGAGGAAUGAACCAAUAGCCGUGAAAACUCGCUUGGGUUGGAUGGUAUACGGAAACUGCACGGGAAAAGAAUCAACUGACGGAUAUAUGAACUAUCACAGCGUUCAAAGAUGUGACUGUAAUCAAGAAGAUGAUGACAAUUUACACAAGGCGAUGAAGUCCUACUUCACACUCGAUAGCAUGGGAAUUGCGAAGCCGAACAAACUUCUCCUUUCUCGAGAUGAUCAGCGUGCACAAACAUUGUUAGAAUCUUUAACUCAUCUAACAAACAACCGAUACGAAUCCGGCCUUCUAUGGAGAUACGACCAUGUUCGAUUGCCUGACAGCAGACCAAUGGCUCUACGACGUUGGAAAUGUUUGGAAAAUCGGAUGAGUAAAGACCCAGUGCUAGCUGGAGCGCUCAAGGAUAAGAUUCAGGAUCACGUAGAUAAAGGAUAUAUCAGAAAACUGACAGCAGAAGAGCUUCGAAGGCCAUACGAGCGAGUGUGGUAUCUUCCUAUCUUUGUUGUCGUCAAUCCGAACAAACCGGGUAAAAUACGACUUGUGUGGGAUGCGGCUGCUACAGUCCAUGGCGUAUCAUUGAAUUCUGUUCUGCUGAAAGGGCCGGAUCAGUUAACGUCCCUGCUGUCUGUUCUGAUCCGCUUUCGUGAGUUCCGAGUGGCGAUAUGUGGUGAUAUUAAAGAAAUGUUUCACCAGGUGCAAAUACGGGAUGAGGAUCAACAUUGCCAACGAUUCUUUUGGAAAGGUGAAGAAGAUCAACCCAGCGUGUACGUCGUCCAGGUUAUGACUUUCGGCGCCUGUUGUUCGCCAAGUACUGCGCAACAUGUGAAGAACAGCAACGCAACGUGUUUUGAGCAAGAUCAUCCAGACGCAGUGGAAGCUAUCAUCAAAAGACACUAUGUCGACGAUAUGCUCACAAGUACGGAGACGGAGGAAGAGGCUCUGAAACUAGCGAGAGAGGUGAAAGAAAUCCACAGUCACGCCGGGUUCGAUAUUAGAAACUGGAUAUCCAACUCGAACUAUGUUCAAACGACGUUGAAGGAUACUUCGACGGAGGAGAAGAACAUGAACAUCGGAGAAGAUGCAGCUACAGAGAAAGUACUUGGAAUGUGGUGGAAUACGUCAACCGAUCACUUCACAUACAAGGUGUCCACGCAAUAUGAUGAAGACUUACUAUCCGGGAAACAUCGGCCAACGAAACGUGAAGUUCUUCGAACGUUGAUGAUGAUCUUCGAUCCUUUAGGCUUCAUCGCACAUCUACUGAUGUACCUCAAAGUCCUCCUGCAAGAAAUUUGGCGAACAGCGGUCGGAUGGGACGACCCUAUUGGAGAUGCACAGUUUGACAAAUGGCUGACAUGGCUCCAAGUGUUUCCAAAUAUUUGCACUGUUGAAGUUCCUCGAUGCUAUCGCUCGCUCACGUCGGUGAAAGCUGAAGUGGAACUUCAUACGUUCGUUGACGCUAGUGAGAGCGGGUUCGCCGCAGUAGUUUACCUUCGAUUCAAGGAAGCAGAUACGAUCGAAUGCGCUCUGGUUGGAGCAAAAACUAGAGUUGCUCCUCUCAAAUUUCUAUCUAUCCCACGGUCUGAACUACAAGCUGCCCUGCUCGGCGUCCGUCUGGCCGAUACAAUAUCGUCAUCCCUCUCGAUAAAAGCUAACAAGCGUCUCUUCUGGACGGAUUCCAAGGAUGUACUUUGUUGGUUAAGAUCCGACCACCGCCGAUACAGUCAAUUUGUAGCCUUCCGAGUCAGCGAAAUUUUGGAAUCGACUGACAUACAUGAAUGGCGAUGGAUUCCAACAAAACAGAACGUGGCCGAUGAGGGAACAAAGUGGAUGAAGGUUCCAGAUUUGUCCGCUAAUAGUCGCUGGUUUCAUGGACCGGAUUUUCUCUGGCAAGAUGAGCACAAUUGGCCCGAAGCGCGGCACUUCGAGAAAGCGACUGACGAAGAACUUCGUCCCCACUUGCUCUUUCAUCAAACUCCGAAUCAGCCAGUGAUUAACCCUCAAAACUUCUCGAAGUGGAUACCUCUUCUUCGGCAAACUGCAUAUAUCUUCCGCUACGUUGACAACCUGAAGCGUAGUAUGGAGAAGGGACAACGUAUCGUGGGACCACUAACACAAGAGGAGUUAACAAAGGCAGAACAUUAUUUGUUCCGGGUAGCACAGUCAGAAGUUUACGCCGACAACAUCGCAACGUUAGCCGCCAAUCGUUCAUUGAAGUGUUCGUCAAGGCGAAUCAUACGAAACGAUCCUCUGUUUCGGAGUGCGUUUGCCGAUGAAGCCGGUGUAGCACGUGUGAAAGGGCGAACAAAGGCGUGUGCGUUUAUCGGUCGUGAUGCUGCCGAACCCAUCAUUCUCCCUCGUCAACAUUACAUUACGCAUCUGAUCAUAGCUGACGCCCACGAACGAUAUGGUCAUCAAAACCAUAAUACGAUCAUCAAUGAGCUACUCCAACGCUAUCGGAUCCCUCGACUGAAAGCAACGUACUACACUGUGAGGCGAAAUUGUCAGCAUUGUAAGAAUCAGCUCGCAAAGCCAAAACCGCCAGCGAUGGCUGAUUUACCUCAAGCUCGACUGGCAGCGUUUAGUCGACCUUUCACCUAUACGGGGAUAGAUUACUUCGGCCCGAUUCUAGUAUCGGUAGGCAGACAUUCCGAAAAACGGUGGGGGGUUCUCGCCACUUGUUUAACUACUCGCGCCAUCCACCUACAAGUCGCGCACAGUUUAACAACCGACUCCUGUGUUAUGGCUAUCCGUAAUAUAAUGGCCAGGAGGGGAACCCCGGCUGUUAUUUACAGUGAUCGAGGCACUAACUUCCGAGCUACCAGUAAGGAAUUGAAGGAAGCGAUCGAAAAUCUCGACUACGAUAAGUUGAGGAUGGAGUUCACCUCACCCCGCACCCAGUGGACCUUCAUACCACCGCUAUCCCCGCAUAUGGGUGGCGCGUGGGAGCGGCUAAUCCAAACUGUCAAGAAGAACCUGAACAUACUACAACCCAAUAGACUACCUACCGACGAGGUGCUGCUGAACGCGAUGGUAGAGGUCGAAAACAUCGUCAAUUCUCGACCGCUAACUGACAUCCCGAUCGACAAUGACAACUCUGCCGUGCUAACGCCCAAUCACUUCCUGUUGGGAUCAGCUAACGGUUUGAGGUCUUGGACACCAUUUGAUGACAGCCCGGUAUAUCUGAGGAACUGUUAUCAGCAAUCUCAGCGCAUUGCAGAUAUGUUCUGGAAGCAAUGGGUUCGCGACUAUUUGCCCACUAUUACUCGAAGAACCAAGUGGCAUACAUCAGCGACUCCGAUUGUUGUCGGGGAUAUUGUAGUAAUCGUGGAUCCAAAAUUCCCCCGAAACUGCUGGCCAAAGGGAAGAGUGAUUGCCACACACCCGUCCACCGAUGGACAAGUGCGCCGCGCAACUGUACAGACAGCAUCGGGAAUAUAUGAGCGGUCCACCGUAUCUCUAGCUGUGCUCGACGUAGGCGUUAGGACGAAUGCGCUUCCGGAACAUCCUUCGCACAUUCCGGGGGGGAGUGUUGAAUACGCCCCGUCGUCAUCUACAGCCGUAGGUGACACGUCAUUGCUCCCAUAGAAAUCCAUCUGCGCGACACACAAUAGAUUGAUAAGGACAUCCAACGAAAACAAUCUGUAUAAUAAUAGAGCCUAUCCAAAGCGUGAAUUUCCCAUUAGAAGAUUAUUCUAUCGAACUAAUAACCAUAUAUUGUUGAACUAUUAGCACAAUUAGACUAGUUACGUGAACUCCUUGUCGCCGUCACCAAGAAUUUAGCUAUUUACAGUGGUGUAAAGGCUAGACAAACCAUCAAAUAUUUGCCAGUAGUAACAUAUUCCCAAUGCUAGAACUAAGCUUAUAAGCUAGCACUAGAGGGAUUCUCAAACGGAAAACGAAGAGAAACUAGUUGCGUGAGGAGAGAAUUACCGAAUUGAUCACUAACAGUAAGCCAAAUUUCAUUUCCUAAAUGUAAGCCGCUAACAAUCUCUUUUGCCAGGAAUUUUGUAAUUUUUAUCAUCAAUAAAUUCACGGAAUUACGAUCAUAGUUCUUCGACUCCG